rnacentral:lncRNA from 1 species
AUUGCAUUAUUUUACUGACUAGAACGCCAGACUUAAUAGUGGGUAUAAGUAUAAAAAUAAUCGAAUUCUUACAAAUAAUAUUUUGCUGCUACAGUACUGAAUAAUUAGUGAAGGUUGCAAUUAUAAUACAACUUUAAAUAACAUUCUUAUAAUGGAUUUAACACAAUCAACCAGGGGCUAAGGUUUAAAGGUCUGCAAAGAGAAAUUUGGGACAAUGUGAAAACUCAAAAAGUUAAUUUUCCAGCUACAGGUUUCAUUUAACCAAAAAUCCAACAACACAAACAUUAACAAAACUCACAGCAACCCC